GGGGAGGUGCCCGAGCGGCCAAAGGGAGUGGACUGUAAAUCCACCGCCGGAAGGCUUCGGAGGUUCAAAUCCUUCCCUCCCCACCA
rnacentral:tRNA from 1 species